rnacentral:tRNA from 1 species
GCCCCGGUUGCUCAACAGCCCCGGCAUCCACGCCGUGAGGGCGCGGGAUCGAAUCCCGCCCGGGGCA